rnacentral:rRNA from 1 species
GGAAUAUUGCGCAAUGGGCGAAAGCCUGACGCAGCGACGCCGCGUGGGGGAUGAAGGUCUUCGGAUUGUAAACCCCUUUCGGGAGGGAAGAUGGGAUGGGGUAACCCAUUCGGACGGUACCUCCAGAAGCAGCCACGGCUAACUUCGUGCCAGCAGCCGCGGUAAUACGAAGGUGGCAAGCGUUGUUCGGAUUUACUGGGCGUACAGGGAGCGUAGGCGGCCUCCGCAAGUCGACUGUGAAAUCUCCGGGCUUAACCCGGAACGGUCAGCCGAUACUGCGGGGCUAGAGUGCAGAAGGGGCAACUGGAAUUCUCGGUGUAGCGGUGAAAUGCGUAGAUAUCGAGAGGAACACCUGCGGCGAAGGCGGGUUGCUGGGCUGACACUGACGCUGAGGCGCGAAAGCUAGGGGAGCGAA